rnacentral:tRNA from 1 species
GCGGGUGUCGUAUAAUGGCUAAUUAUGUCAGCCUUCCAAGCUGAAGAUGGCGGUUCGAUUCCGCUCACCCGCUCCA